rnacentral:tRNA from 1 species
GCGCCCUUAGCUCAGCCUGGAUAGAGCGUCUGGCUACGGACCAGAAGGCCGGGGGUUCGAAUCCCUCAGGGCGUA